UCUUCCCCAAGCUAUGGAAGCCUUAGCAAAUGGUCACUAUGGUUUCGCUAAGUAUGGGAUAUCGGAUGCUGGAGAAGAAGCUCAUUCAUGUGAGAAGAAAACCUCAGGGCUGAAAUUACCCUUAACUGAAAUGAACAAAGUUAUGCAGAAUCUCCAUGAUAUAGCUGUAGCCAUCAUCAAUACAUUGCUGAAUGGUUGAUCAGGUUCUCACUUCUCAGUUCCCUCUUUUCUUGCAAUUCUCAUGUUCAAUAAGAAAAAUUCAAGUGAUUCUUCUACAGUCAAUUCUGUGUCCCUAAUAUCAGCUUCGCCG
rnacentral:misc_RNA from 1 species